CAUGUGGGCUGUGUUUGAAAUAGUUUGUUUUUAGGUAUUUUACUGGUACUAUUUUGCAAGAGGUUGACCGUUUUUACCACCGGGAGGUUCAAACAGAUGUUCUAGACGCAAGCGUCUGAAGAACGAUCCUCCACAGACAGUUGUUAAUGACGAUGCUGAGGAUGAGGUCCACCUAUCAGCAGUGCUUUAAUUGAAGCACACCUACAGAGUCCAGCCUUUUCACCAGGCUGACAGCGGUUUACAUCAUUGGCUGGACGUUUUCAUUAGAGGACAGAUGGACGGUUCCUUUAUUGAUGCCGCUGGCUGCCCUCCAGAUUGGAUCUGCUCAGUCUCUGACCUGGAAGUUGGGCACAGUCGGUCUGGUCCGAUGUCUUCAUGCAGUAAGGGCACAUUGGGGGCGCUAGUGAGCAGCACUGCAAGCACAGAAACAGAACCGGGACACUGUAGGCGCCCAG